rnacentral:rRNA from 1 species
CUACGGGUGGCAGCAGUGGGGAAUAUUGCACAAUGGGGGGAACCCUGAUGCAGCAACGCCGCGUGGAGGAUGUCGCAUUUCGGUGUGUAAACUCCUUUUAUAUGUCAAGAAAAUGACGGUAGCAUAUGAAUAAGCACCGGCUAACUCCGUGCCAGCAGCCGCGGUAAUACGGAGGGUGCAAGCGUUACUCGGAAUCACUGGGCGUAAAGGACGCGUAGGCGGGUUGGAAAGUCAGGUGUGAAAUCCUACAGCUUAACUGUAGAACUGCACUUGAAACUUCUAAUCUAGAGUAUGGGAGGGGGAGAUGGAAUUAGUGGUGUAGGGGUAAAAUCCGUAGAUAUCACUAGGAAUACCUAAAGCGAAGGCGAUCUCCUGGAACAUUACUGACACUAAGGCGUGAAAGCGUGGGGAGCAAACAGGAUUAGAUACCCGAGUAGUC